rnacentral:snRNA from 1 species
GGAUGUGAGGAUGAUCUGGCUGCAAAAUCCAUCACCCCGUUGACUGCCAGGGAUGAUCUGGCUUAUCUGUCUGGCUAGGCGAAUGUCCUCUUCCUCCCUCAUUGCUCCAUGUGUGUCCCUUCUGAAGCUGCGCCACUUGGUCAAAAAAGACGACCUUUCCUGAAUAGAGACAGAUGGGGCUUCGGUUGAGGGCUCUUCUGCUAGAAUCGCCAAACAAGCUCUCAGGAAGCCACAUGAAAACGAAAUCUUUUCCUUUAAAAACAUUUUUUAAUUUAUAUUUUAUUUAUUAAUUUAUUAUUUAUU